rnacentral:rRNA from 1 species
AGGCGUUCAUUAGAUAUCAACCAGACGCUUCGGCGAGUAAGGUGAAUCAUAGUGUUCAAUCGAGUCGCACGGUGUUUGCCAGGCGAUGCGUCAGUCAAGUUUCUGACCUAUCAGCUUCCGACGGUAAGGUAUUGGCUUACCGUGGCAGUGACGGGUAACGGGGAAUUAGGGUUUGAUUCCGGAGAGGGAGCCUUAGAAACGGCUACCACAUCUAAGGAAGGCAGCAGGCGCGUAAAUUACCCAAUUCUGACACAGAGAGGCAGCGACAAGAAAUAACAAUACAGCAUACUUUGUGUGUUGUAAUUGGAAUGAGUGGGAGGCAAAUAGUCCCACCAGUAACAAUUGGAGGGCAAGUCUGGUGCCAGCAGCCGCGGUAAUUCCAGCUCCAAUAGCGUAUAUUAAAGUUGUUGCAGUUAAAAAGCUCGUAGCUGGGUUGAUGGUAGUUAGAUCUUACUGGCUUAGUUGACAGAGGAUAAGAGCUCCCAUUUGCUUGCAACGAAGCGUACGCAGAGUUGCAGCGCAUUUACUUUGAGUAAACUAGAGUGUUUCAAGCAAGCAAUUGCGAUGAAUACUGCA